rnacentral:rRNA from 1 species
AUGAGCCGUCUUAGACACCGCAACAUCGUCCAGCUCAUCGGCUGGUACCGUUGCCGGAGAUCACUACCGAUUGUCUACGAGCUCGUCUCCGGAGGCAGCCUUGACACCCAUCUCUACAGUCCUGGCAGACCCUUGACGUGGCCCGAUUGGUACAAGAUCGCGCUCGGCCUGGGCUCCGCCUUGCGGUUCAUCCACCCGGAAUGCGACCAGUGCAUCAUGCACGGCGACAUCAAACCCGCAAACGUGAUGCUCGACGCGUCGCGCAACGCCAAGCUCGGCGACUUCGCGCUAGCGAGCCUCGUUGACCACUGAGCCGAGCCACACACAACGCAGGUCGUUGUGGGAACCCUCGGGUACAUCGACCCGGAGUUUGUCAGCAGCCGCAGGCUGAGCACCGAGUCCGACAUGUACAGUUUCGGCAUCGUGCUCCUCAAGAUCGCCUGCGGCCGGCGACCAACGUAGAGGCGGCCAGAUCAUCAGGCCUCGGUGGCGCUGCUGGCCUCGGUCCGUGGCAUGUACCACCGAAACCGGAUCGUCGACGCGCCUGAUCGGAGGCUGGAUGGCGAGUUUGACAGGCUGCAGAUGGAGCGUCUACUCGUCACAGGGCUCUGGUGCGUGCACCACGACCCGAUGCAGCGGCCGUCCGUUGCGGGCAGGCUAUGGAUGUGCUACGAUCUAGAGACGCAAAGUUGUCUGUGCUUGUAG